rnacentral:rRNA from 1 species
AGCAGCCGCGGUAAUUCCAGCUCCAAUAGCGUAUAUUAAAGUUGUUGCAGUUAAAAAGCUCGUAGUUGAAUUUCGGGGUUAGUAGGUUGGUCAUACCUCUGGUAUGUACUGGUCUCACUGAUUCCUCCUUCCUUAUGAACCGUAAUGCCAUUAAUUUGGUGUUGCGAGGAAUUUGGACUGUUACUUUGAAAAAAUUAGAGUGUUUAAAGCAAGCUAACGCUUGAAUACAUUAGCAUGGAAUAAUGAAAUAGGACGUUCGAUCUUAUUUUGUUGGUUUCUUAGGAUUGACGUAAUGAUUAAUAGGGAUAGUUGGGGGCAUUAGUAUUCAAUUGUCAGAGGUGAAAUUCUUGGAUUUAUUGAAGACUAACUACUGCGAAAGCAUUUGCCAAGGAUGUUUUCAUUAAUCAAGAACGAAAGUUAGGGGAUCGAAGACGAUCAGAUACCGUCGUAGUCUUAACCAUAAACUAUGCCGACUAGGGAUCGGAUGAUGUUAAUUUUUAAUGACUCAUUCGGCGCCUUA